AUGCCAGGCUUCCAACAAGUUGUCCAAGAUGCUUGGAAUGAGGCCUCCACACACACUGAACCCUACCAGAGGUUGUUCCACAAGUUGAAAAAUACCAGUCAGAAACUCCGCUCUUGGAGCAAGAGCCUCUUCUCUAAUGCCAAGGUUCAAUUGCAUAUGGCCUUGGAGAUAAUUCUUAGGCUUGAUGAGGCUCAGGAGAUGCGGCCUCUGAGCUUGGAGGAGACGCUUCGAAAAAGACUCAAGAAAAAAGUGGUGGCCCUUGCGGUUAUGGAGAGAGCUAGGAAGAGACAAAGCUCGAGGAUCACCAACAUCAAAGAGGGAGAUGCAAAUACCUGA
rnacentral:rRNA from 1 species